rnacentral:rRNA from 1 species
UCCGCCUACGGGGGGCAGCAGUGGGGAAUAUUGCACAAUGGGGGAAACCCUGAUGCAGCGACGCCGCGUGAGCGAUGAAGUAUUUCGGUAUGUAAAGCUCUAUCAGCAGGGUAGAAAAUGACGGUACCUGACUAAGAAGCCCCGGCUAACUACGUGCCAGCAGCCGCGGUAAUACGUAGGGGGCACGCGUUAUCCGGAUUUACUGGGUGUAAAGGGGGCGCAGACGGCGAUGCAAGCCAGGAGUGAAAGCCCGGGGCCCAACCCCGGGACUGCUCUUG